UAUCUAAUAAAAAAUGUAUUUAAAAAAAAAAAAGAAACUAAAAGUCCUUGAGAUGGAGCCACUAGUCUGGUGACUCCACGUUUCUACAGCAUACUCACCUGGGAAUCAUCUCUCUCACUGCUCACUCAACCUGUGUCACCAAUUACUCCAACCAAGCACCCACGGCCUCUAAUGCAGGCCUUCCUCCUGCAAGGGUCCCAUGGCUGCUUCCACUGCCUCAGAGCAGUACAGGUACCACAGGCACGCUCUGGGUCUCUGCUUCUCCUUUGCUGUGUUAGCUUUACUUAUCCUUGAGAUCCCGCCUUCCAAGUGUAGUUUCAAGGGCAAUUUCCUGCCACAGUGCUAGGUUAAUUUUCUGUAGAUUGUCUCAUAUCACCCUUUACUUUGUCCAGUUACUAAUUUAUAAUGACUCAGACAUUACCUCACUAAGGUCUGCUUCCUCCUUUAUGAGGAGAAUCUAUAAGGACAGGAACAGCGCUCCUUUGCCUCAUACCAUGUCACCUGUGGCUCAAGUAGUCCUGGCACAAGGGUGGGACUCAUCAAAUGUCGAAUUGUUAAUGGGCAAGUGGCCUGCUGCUGAUGUUGUUUGAGGCAGGCUAGCCGUCUCUCCGGUAGGCAAGGGAUGGCUUUGCCAAGCAGCCAACCUGUGUGGGUUCCCUUGGCAACUCUAAAUGGCAUACUUCUGCUUCCAUUAUCCCUACAUCGAGCCCAAGACAUGACCAUAGGGCCUUCUCAGUGAAAACAUGACAUUGCCAGCCACUCAAAAGCCCUCCAAGUUUCUGCCUGGAAAGCGCCAUCUACCACCAUCAGGCUAGAUCCACUUCUCCCUUGAUGGGCUGCAUGGACCAGUAUCCCUCAGCUCCUCACACAGAGAGCCCUGUCCACAGAGCUGCUCCUAGGUGGCAGCUGCAACCAAGACAGCCAAGAAAAGCCACAGCUCCCCAUGCCUUCUCACUGAAGAAUUCAGUCAGCAAACAAACAUCCUCCUCACUGCCAUUAGGCAACCUGUUGGAUUGUACGCUAAUUUAAAAGGUGAGUUAAUUAAAAUGUCUUCGUAAUUGAAAACCGAUUAAGAUAAAUUCUAAGGCCACCAACUUGCCAUCCAUGAGCAGACACUUCUCUGAUUUUCUCUUUUCUUUGGUUCUUCUGUCCCAUUCUUUUCCUCCCUCUUUUAAUUUAAUUUUAUCUCCUAGGAAAGAGUUACAUGGAGAAAGGUUUGAGAAGCUGAAGGAGGUGCUCUGGGUUUCCCUGGGUUUGCACACAAGCUCAGCCCAACAGGGUAAGAUACUAGAUAGCAAAAUCGCCAAGUGUUGAGGACCUGCUUCUCCAGAAAACAGAUAUGAAGAGGAUGUUUCUUUUAAUCUAGCCUAGGCUGAUUUAUCCCCUAAACAUCUGCCAGUUGGCCAGCAGUCUGGUAGAAAACACUUUUGCAGAAAGACUUUAACUAGCAAAUCCAUCAAUGAAGCACUUGGGUUUUAUGAAUAACUACCUUCAAUUACAUAAAUUCUCUUUGCUGAGCCUUUGCAGAAAGCACAAAUGUGUGUACUCGAAAGUCUCGCCAUUAUGAAAUUAACUAGGUCUCACUUGCCUUCCUGUAGCACUGCCAAUAACUACACAGGGAGAGUGCACGAGGCCAAGCCCCUUCGUCCUUGCUGCCAUCACAAGAGAAGGUAUGUAGCCAUGGUAUAUUUUGGGCAUUCGGAUGGUAUUUGGAGAAACCCUGAUAUGUUUCUUUGGAACUGGAGCAUCUCCCUGGAGAAGGAGUCACCUCACAGAACCCAGGAAAGCCUACAGUACCUUCAAGAGCAGAAACGUGUGUGAUAUGUCCAGUGAAGGCUUAUUCUACACUGGUAGGAUUGGUUUGAAGUUUGGGUGAGGGAGAAACAUUGAUGC
rnacentral:lncRNA from 1 species